AACGAACGCUGGCGGCGUGGAUAAGACAUGCAAGUCGAGCGAGAUUUUUUCCUGUAGCAAUACAGGGAAAAGUCUAGCGGCGAACGGGUGCUUAACACGUGGGCAAUCUGUCUUAAAGUGGGGGAUAGCUCGGCGAAAGCCGAAUUAAUACCGCAUGUGAUUAGCGGAGACAUCUUCGCGAAAUCAAAGUCGGGGCAACCUGAUGCUUUUUGAGGAGCCCGCGGCCUAUCAGCUUGUUGGUGAGGUAACGGCUCACCAAGGCUCUGACGGGUAGCUGGUCUGAGAGGACGACCAGCCACACUGGGACUGAGACACGGCCCAGACACCUACGGGUGGCAGCAGUCGAGAAUUUUUCUCAAUGGGGGAAACCCUGAAGGAGCGACGCCGCGUGGAGGAUGAAGGUCUUCGGAUUGUAAACUCCUGUCAUUGGGGAACAAGUCGCUUACGUUAACUGCGUGAGCGUUGAUAGUACCCGAAGAGGAAGAGACGGCUAACUCUGUGCCAGCCGCCGCGGUAACAC
rnacentral:rRNA from 1 species